rnacentral:rRNA from 1 species
CUGGUUGAUCCUGCCAGUAAUUAUAUGCUUGUCUCAAAGAUUAAGCCAUGCAUGUACAAGUUCACACCUUCAUACGGUGAAACCGCAUAUGGCUCAUUAAAUCAGCUAUUAUUUCUUAGAUCUCAACUCCUACAUGGAUAACUGUGGUAAUUCUAGAGCUAAUACGUGCCCAAGUGUUGCAGCCCUGCGCUGUGGCGGAUUUAUUAGAUCAAAACCAACCGGCUUCGGCCGUCCGUUGAUGACUCUUGAUAACUGUCCUGAUCGCAUGACCUUGUGUCGGCGACGUAUCUUUCAAGUAUCUGCCCUAUCAACUGUCGUUGGUGAGUUAAAUGCUCACCAUGGUGAUAACGGGUAACGGGGAAUCAGGGUUUGAUUCCGGAGAGGGAGCCUUAGAAAUGGCUACCACAUCUAAGGAAGGCAGCAGGCGCGCAAAUUACCCACUCUCAGUUCGAGGAGGUAGUGACGAUAAAUAACGAUGCAAGACUCAUCAUGAGGCCUUGCAAUUGGAAUGAGUACAAUUUAAAUCCUUUAACGAGGAUCUAUUGGAGGGCAAGUCUGGUGCCAGCAGCCGCGGUAAUUCCAGCUCCAAUAGCGUAUAUUAAAAUUGUUGCAGUUAAAAAGCUCGUAGUUGGAUCUCAGGUGCUGAGUCGCUGGUGCAGUUUUCUGCUGUUACCUAGCGUGCUCCACCUAGCCCAGCCGUAUGUUGCCUAUCGGUGCUCUUUACUGAGUGCUGUGUGGUACUCGGCACGUUUACCUUGAAAAAAUUAGAGUGCUCAAAGCAGGCCUUGGUGCUUGUAUAGUGUUGCAUGGAAUAAUGGAAUAUGACUCCGGUGCUAUUUUGUUGGUUUUCAGUACUGGAGUAAUUGAUUAAUAGAGACAGACGGGGGCAUUUGUAUGGUGGCGUUAGAGGUGAAAUUCUUGGAUCGUCGCCAGACAAACUGCAGCGAAAGCGUUUGCCAAGUAUGUCUUCUUUAAUCAAGAACGAAAGUCAGAGGCUCGAAGACGAUCAGAUACCGUCCUAGUUCUGACCAUAAACGAUGAUGACCGGCAAUCAGGGGUGGUUAUUCUACCAUUGACCCUCCUGGCUGUCCCCGGGAAACCUGGAGCAAAUUUCUGGGGGGAGUAUGGUCACAAGGAGGAAACUUAAAGGAAUUGACGGAAGGGCACCACCAGGAGUGGAGCCUGCGGCUUAAUUUGACUCAACACGGGGAAACUUACCCGGUCCGGACACUGGAAGGAUUGACAGAUUGAUAGCUCUUUCAUGAUUCAGUGGGUGGUGGUGCAUGGCCGUUCUUAGUUGGUGGAGUGAUUUGUCUGGUUAAUUCCGAUAACGAACGAGACUCUGUCCUGCUAACUAGUACGCCGAUAUCUGGUUGCAUUGCGCUUCCUAAAGUCGGUGCUGACUUCUUAGAGGGAUACGCGGUACCCAAACCGCACGAAAUAGAGCAAUAACAGGUCUGUGAUGCCCUUAGAUGUCCGGGGCCGCACGCGCGCUACAAUGACAGUAUCAGCAAGUAUUACUACCUGGUCCGAAAGGAUUGGGAAACCUUAUGAAUUAUUGUCACGACAGGGAUUGGGGUUUGCAAUUGUCCCCCAUGAACGAGGAAUUCCCAGUAGGUGCAAGUCAUCACCUUGUGCCGAUUACGUCCCUGCCCUUUGUACACACCGCCCGUCGCUACUACCGAUUGAAUGGUUUAGUGAGGUCUUGGGAUUGAGGGCUCUGUGAUGCAAAUCACACUGACCUUGAAAAGCAGAUCAAACUUGAUCAUUUAGAGGAAGUAAAAGUCGUAACAAGGUUUUCGUAGGUGAACCUGCAG